UGAUAGCUGGUUCUCUCCGAAAUGCAUUUAGGUGCAGCGUCGGGGAUUACGUCCGGGGGGUAGAGCUACUGGAUGCUUGAGGGCCCGUAUCGGGUACCGACAGCAGCCAAACUCCGAAUACCCGUGACGCGUAUCCCGGCAGUGAGUCGGCGGGGGAUAAGCUCCGUCGUCGAAAGGGAGACAGCCCAGAUCGUCGUCUAAGGUCCCCAAGCGCGUGCUAAGUGGGAAAGGAUGUGGAGUCGCAUAGACAGCCAGGAGGUUGGCUCAGAAGCAGCCAUCCUUGAAAGAGUGCGUAACAGCUCACUGGUCUAGUGGUUCCGCGCCGACAAUGUAGCGGGGCUCAAGCACGCCACCGAAGACGCGGCAGCGUCCGUUUGGAUGCUGGGUAGGAGAGCGUCCCCAUCGGGGCGAAGCGGCGGCGCAAGCCUGCCGUGGACCGUUGGGGAGUGAGAAUGCAGACAUGAGUAGCGAGAGGCGGGUGCGAAUCCCGCCCGCUGGAUGACCAAGGGUUCCGGGGCCACGUUCGUCGUCCCCGGGUGAGUCGGGUCCUAAGGCGAGGCCGACAGGCGUAGUCGAAUGGAUGAACGGGCUGAUAUUCCCGUACCGGCAGCGAACCGAAACAACCGAGGCCUGGGGCGCUAACCUCCGGGUCCGUGCCGUCUCCCCUUUCGGGGGGUCGCGGCGCGGGCGCGUUGGGAUCCCCCCUCGUAGUAGGUCAGCGCAGGAGUGACGCAUCAGGGCAGCCGGCCGCGGAGGUGGUUUUCCGUGGUCAAGCGUUCGAGCCCGUCCCGCAGGCAAAUCCGCGGGGCGUCGGGGCGAGGCGUGAUGAUGGGGGCCUUACGGCCCGAAUCCGGUGAUCCGUGGUGCCGAGAAAAGCUUCGGCGUCAGGCGCGUUGCCGCCCGUACCCCAAACCGACACUGGUGGUCAGGUAGAGAAUACCAAAGCGAUCGAGCGAAUCCUGGUCAAGGAACUCGGCAAAUCACUCCCGUGCCUUCGGCAUAAGGGAGACCCCCUGCGGUGAUGAGCGGCGGGGGGUGGCACAGGCCAGGGGGUAGCGACUGUUUACCAAAAACACAGGAGCGUGCGAAGGCGCAAGCCGCUGUAUACGCUCUGACGCCUGCCCGGUGCCGGAAGGUUAAGAGGAUCCGUCAGUCUUUCUGUGAAGCGGUGAAUUCAAGCCCCGGUAAACGGCGGUGGUAACUAUAACCAUCCUAAGGUAGCGAAAUUCCUUGUCGGGUAAGUUCCGACCUGCACGAAUGGCGUAACGACUUCCCCACUGUCUCGACCAGGAGCUCGGCGAAAUUGCAGUACGAGUAAAGAUGCUCGUUAAGCGCAGAAGGACGAAAAGACCCCGGGACCUUUACUAUACCUUGGUAUUGGCGUUAGGCGCGGAUUGUGUAGCAUAGGCGGGAGGCUUCGAAGCGGGUGCGCCAGCAUUCGUGGAGCCGCAAGGUGAAAUACCGCUCUGUUCUCGUUUGACGUCUAACCUCGACAAGUCAUCCUUGUCAGGGACAGUGCCUGGCGGGUAGUUCAACUGGGGCGGUUGCCUCCCAAAGAGUAACGGAGGCGCUCAAAGGUCCGCUCAGCCCGGUUGGCAAUCGGGUGUCGAGUGUAAUCGCACAAGCGGGCUUGACUGCGAGGACGACGGUCCGAGCAGGGACGAAAGUCGGAGAUAGUGAUCCGGUGCCGGCGCACGGGCGCGGCAUCGCUCAACGGAUAAAAGGUACCCCGGGGAUAACAGGCUGAUCAUUCCCAAGAGUCCAUAUCGACGGGAUGGUUUGGCACCUCGAUGUCGGCUCGUCGCAUCCUGGGGCUGGA
rnacentral:rRNA from 1 species